UACGUAGGUGGCGAGCGUUGUCCGGAUUUACUGGGCGUAAAGAGCGCGCAGGCGGCUGGUCAAGUCCGAUGUGAAAGCUCCCGGCUUAACUGGGAAAUUGCAUCGGAAACUGAUCGGCUGGAAGGUGGGAGAGGGUAGCGGAAUUCCCGGUGUAGUGGUGAAAUGCGUAGAUAUCGGGAGGAACACCAGUGGCGAAGGCGGCUCACUGGCCCGGUACUGACGCUGAGGUGCGAAAGCGUGGGGAGCAAACAGG
rnacentral:rRNA from 1 species